CUAUAAAAGAUGCAGCAGAUGCAAACUGUAAAACAAGGACAAUUAACCCUUGCUCUCCUGGACCAAAUUUAUCCUAACCUCGUCUUUUGUCUUCC